rnacentral:rRNA from 1 species
GACGAACGCUGGCGGCGUGCCUAAUACAUGCAAGUAGGACGCAGUUGCGAACGGGUGAGUAACGCGUAGGUAACUAGCUAUUAGAGGGGGAUAACUAUUGGAAACGAUAGCUAAUACCGCAUACUAGUUGAUGGACCUGCGUUGUAUUAGCUAGUAGGUAAGGUAAUGUCCUACCUAGGCAACGAUACAUAGCCGACCUGGGGGGGUUAUCGGCCACGCUGGGACUGAUACGCGGGCCAGACUCCUACGGUGUGGAGCAGUUGGGAAUCUUCGUCAAUGGGGGGAACCCUGACCGUGCAACACCGCGUGAGUGAAGAAUGUUUUCGGGUCGUAAAGCUCUGUUGGUAAGGAAGCGGUACUUAACCAGAAAGCUUCGGCUAACUACGUGCCAGCAGCCGCGGUAAUAC